CGCCACUUUGUAGUUUCCCUGAUGCUUUCCUUGGCACAAACGUCCGCCCUGUCGCCCGCUACGAAUCAGAUUUUUCCACGGAUCUUCGGUUUUUCAAAUAAAUUGAGAAAUACGAGGAAAGAAUGGCGCGUCUUCCAGAGUACACAGGAUCUUUUCCAUAACUCGACAGCUGCUACCGUGGAAGCGUAAAUCGUCUGCAAAAAUUGAAAAAUCUACGAGAACCGAGUAUCGAAGGUUGCGAAACUCCGAUCGUACAGGUAGAUUGGGAGACGAUGACGAAAAGGUGGCCAAGGAGCGAGAUUCGACGAAACUUUUAUUCGUGUUUGACAAGGCCGGAGAUAUCCGUUGGUAUAAUCCCGCGGGAUGACAAUAUUUUUAAUUCCAGGCAAGAUGUAACAGGAUCAGCGAGAGCGAAGUUUUAGGCUUGAGAAGACGAACCGUUUUGUUUCCUCCUCGAAUUCGCGGGUAAUACGUAAUCCUCUUAGAGACGUCAGGUAUCAAGGAGCACCUACAGCGGUAGGACACGUCGACGAUCCUUUUUACCGGAAACAAAUAUUUUAUUUCACAAGGUCCGUUCCAAUAGCGUUCGUCGAUUCGCGACGCGACUGUUACAGCCAUCGAAUCUUAGGAUAAUCGAAUUCAACGAACGAGAAAACCGAACUUUCGCCUACGUUAAGCUAUCCGCUCGAUAUCGGUUCGUAGCUUCGUUUUAUAAAAUCCUAACCCAAACCAAGCACGAUCCGACAUACACUGCCCUCGUAAGUCCACAAGUAUUAGGCGAUCAAAUGGAACUUGGAUGGAAAUAUAUUUUCUAUUUAUACGCAUAAGCGCGUCUCUAUCCGUAUAUUCUGCGCAUUUCUCGCACAUAUCGAAUUUAUUUAGGAAUUAGCUCGGUUGGUUAUCGUCGCUUACUAAAUUUCGUCAUCGUGGACUACGAACUAGAAUGCCACUGCUCUGUUCUUGUCACAUUUCUUGCCACCUUGUCGAUGGAAUAUGCGUGCACCAAAUACAGCAUCUACAGAGAUUUUUCAAUUGCCUUCUUGCAACAGAGUCGACCGCGCGUGGAACUCGUCGUACCGGUCCGUUUCGUAUCAGAUCCGCUGAAAUAUGAGAGCCUUUGAUCGGAGACCUAAUAGGUGUCCGCGACAAAUAGGUUCGAGCGAUUGCGGCACAUAUUAUACAAACAAAAAGCGACGAUCGAAGGAGAAGGCUGGAUAAAGAAGAGGUGUAGCAGAUAUAACAGCAGGAAGACGGUGCCGCCGGUAUACAGGAUAAUCGAUCGUCAUUAGCACCCUACGGACGUGUCCGUAUAGGUCCAAAGGCGCGGCAGCCAGCGUCGUUUGGCCGGCCAAAGGAUCGAGCUUGCUUUCGUCGGAUGAAAAGAACUGCACUCGUGGCUUUUCCGUGUCAAGAAAACAUUAAUAUAAAACGCGCGGCUGACAAAAUGAAGGAGACCCGUUCGACCACCCGGGCGCGUAACAAACGUCGAAAUUAAUAGCGCGCACUUAUCAAACUUGACAACUUAUUAUAAAAUGGUUGCUCGAUGAAA